UACGGGGGGUGCAAGCGUUGUUCGGAAUUACUGGGCGUAAAGGGCGCGUAGGCGGCUUGAUAAGUCAGUCGUGAAAUCUCCGGGCUUAACCUGGAAGGGUCGAUUGAUACUGUCGAGCUAGAGUGCGGAAGAGGCAAUCGGAAUUCCGUGUGUAGCGGUGAAAUGCGUAGAUAUACGGAGGAACACCGGCGGCGAAGGCGGAUUGCUGGGCUGACACUGACGCUGAGGCGCGAAAGCUAGGGGAGCAAACAGG
rnacentral:rRNA from 1 species